rnacentral:lncRNA from 1 species
AGUAGAACUAUAUUGGCUAGAAUAGUGUGUUAAGCCGCAAUUCCACUGAGGCAACUUUUAAGCAACAUGUAGCAUGCGGCAUUGACGCAUACUACACACAGUCUUUCCAUAGAAGGAACACAAAGCAACAAAAAAUAUGUCUCCUUGCCGCAUGCUACAAGUUGACCGUUGUUGCCUAUCGAUUGCGUCAUCUCUCGACAUGAUUCAACGUGUCGAACCGUGUCGCUGUCUAUCCAACAGUCAACGGAUCGGUGCGGCUUGGAGCAGGCAACAUGGAGUGGACAAACGAAAAAACUGUCUUUUAUUGGCGAUUACCAUAAUUCCCCCGAAUUAUGGAAUAAUAAAAUCCCCGAAUACAAAGAUUUAAGAAUUAAAAACGAUAAGUUGAAACAAUUAUCAGGUAAAUACAAUUAUUGUACGAUGAUGGAGGUAAAAAUAAAUGGUUUAUUUAUUAAUGGUUAAUGUAUUUAAAUAGGAAAAUAUAAUUGUACGGUGAUGGAGGUAAAAAAAA